ACUCGACAUCGACAAUCCUAGUUCACUACUCCACAAGAGGUAAAAUUCCAAUUUUCUUCUCUCUGCUAGUAGGUAACUAUGUACUAAAUAUUAAAGCUGUGUUUGGAGAAUGUGCCUAUAUGAAGUAGAAUUUAACUGAUGAUUUAUAUUCAAACAAUAUUGCAGUCCUUUGUUUGCGCCCAAAUAUGAUGUUAAAUUUUUCUUUUAGAAAUUGACAUGUUAGUCUUUAUCUACACCCAUUAUGCUAUUUGUUGAACGACUUUAUUGUGUGUUUGCGAAGGAUGUAGAAUAUUGAAUUCCCCUGUUUAAGUUGGCAAAAGGAUGACUUAAAAUUUUCAUUUGUUUCAAAAUAGGUAACUUAGGAAUAAGUUUUCAAAUGUUGCCAGAGAUAAUUUAUAACUAGCUAGGGAAGAUACUUGUGAUCUCGUGAGUAUUAUGACUUUGUGCCCUUUCCUAUGCUUCUGUUUAUUAAAUAUUUUCAAUGCUAACAGAUCUCAGCUUACUAGAAUUUCUUUUUUUCUAAAAUGAAGUUCUCACAUCGUAAGACUAUACCUUGGGGUGUUAACUAGCUUGUGGUUUAGUGUAAUGAAGCAUGUACUCUAAUAGGCUGUUUGAGAACCCAGUUAGUCACUUUCUUCUUAAAGGCGAUUAACUAGACACACGCUAACGAAUUUAAAAGGAGACGUGAAAAGCGCAUGCCAAAUUAUUCUGUCCAUGUGUGUUCUCUGCUGGAUCACUUUGUUAGAUCGCGAUUUCCUCAGCUGUUUCAAAACGUUAACGUAAAAAGAAUUGUUUAGAUUUUGUAGGAAGCAUUUCAUCGAUGUAGGGCGGCUAUGUUUAUUUUAGUCUCUUGGUUAAUUAACUGGGAAUAUGAGUAUUUUAAACGGGU
rnacentral:lncRNA from 1 species